rnacentral:rRNA from 1 species
AGGGCUUGACAUAUCGACGAAAGAUUUAGAGAUAAAUCCCCUCUUCGGAGCGUUGAUACAGGUGGUGCAUGGUUGUCGUCAGCUCGUGUCGUGAGAUGUUGGGUUAAGUCCCGCAACGAGCGCAACCCCUGUUCUUAGUUACUAACGGAUCAUGCCGAGGACUCUAAGGAUACUGCCGGUGACAAACCGGAGGAAGGUAGGGACGACGUCAAAUCAUCAUGCCCUUUANGUCCUGGGCUA